UACGUAGGGCGCAAGCGUUGUCCGGAAUUAUUGGGCGUAAAGAGCUCGUAGGUGGUUUGUUACGUCUGCUGUGAAAACCUAGGGCUUAACCCUGGGCCUGCAGUGGAUACGGGCAGACUAGAGUGUGGUAGGGGAGACUGGAAUUCCUGGUGUAGCGGUGAAAUGCGCAGAUAUCAGGAGGAACACCGAUGGCGAAGGCAGGUCUCUGGGCCACUACUGACGCUGAGAAGCGAAAGCAUGGGGAGCGAACAGG
rnacentral:rRNA from 1 species